rnacentral:lncRNA from 1 species
UUGGAUUAUAUGACCGAACUAUAUGUCCGAUUGACUUUGCUUAACAAGAUGGCAACCUGUAGUGAGUUGGCAUUUCAUUUCAAUAAAUGCAUAAACAAAGAUAUAAAAGUCUGCUUGCCUGCCUGCCUAUCCUCAUACUCAUUGCCAUCUUUCUUAAAAGCAUAAUUGUUCUCCCAUAAACUCCUUCAUUAUAUUUCCUUGACAAGUCUCUUAACUCAAGGAUUCUUAAACAAGUAUCAAGUCCAAAUCUCCUUACAAUCCUAAUAAGGUAUGUGAUACUCCCACUCUGGUUCCUCAUAUGAUGUUUUCUGUAUUUUCAGGGUCUUUAAAGAUACAUAUGGAUCGGGUUGGUCAUGUGAUCAAUACAGUGCUGACACGCAGAGAGAGAACAUCUCUCGCCUGCGUGUCGAAGUUAACUUCAUACUAACCACUCUCAUAUCUUCUUGUUAUAUUAUAUUCGUUCCGUUUCACAAAAAGAAUCUCAAUUAACUUUAAUCCUAUUUAAUUUGUAAUAUUCUAAAGCUCAAAACGAUCAAAUGAGACUCUUUUUGAAUUUCGCAAAUUUACUACAAAAAGAUCAAAUGAGACUCUUUUAUGUAGAAUGGAGAGGGAAUAUUCUUUAGUUACUCGGCAUAAAGAAUUUUAGCCUUAUGUCCUCUCCCACAAUAUCACUUUUGCACAUUUCUUAUGCUUAGUCUUGGCUCAAGCUUCUUGGGAAAAUCACAACUAUUUUCUUGCUCUAUCAAAUGUUUCUUUAAUAACAAAGCUUGAAAUAUUCAUAAACUCUAGGGAUUAGAGAAGAGCUGUAAGAUCUAGGAAACAAUAUGGCAACUGAGGCACCAAGCUGGGCAGAUCAAUGGGGCGCAGGAGGUAUUGGCGCCACCAAAGAAGGCGACAACAAAGACAGUGGCGGAAAAAAGAAAGUGGCAGCUUCUUCAGCAGGAUUGAGCAAAGCCAAAGCAGUAGCAGUUGGUGGAGCAGAAAAGUUGAAGAAGGGAACAUCGACGGGCAUCAAAUGGAUCAAGAACAAAUACCAGAAGAAAAGCUCAAAAGAAAGCUCUUACGACGAUUAAAUAUAACAAAUUCAUACAAAACUGUUGUUUGAAACGGCCAGAUUCAUCAAGACAAUUUGUUUUCACCGUAAACUUCUAUUAAUGCAAACCACAAUAGUUUAAAUUCAGUCCUUUAAUUUAAGGUGGACUCAUUCCAAUACAGAUAUUAGACAACUCAUACCCACAAUUGUCUUAAAUUUUAAAGGGUAGCUUUGGGAAUUAAAAAUCUAAAUCACUCAGAGAACUUUCAUGCAUUUAUACACAGCAUAAUAUACAUAUUUUCCAGCACCAGUUUUGACCAAAAACAUAAGAUGUGGUGAUAUAAACGGGGCAUAUCUAUCAAAAUUACCAAAAACAUCAAAAGGAAUUGAAGAGCUAUUAAUAUUCAAAUCCAUUCACGAAAUGAAAUCUGUUGAGCACUACAUUUAAAGUUCUCCCAAAACAAUAUCAAGUUAAAAUCAAUGGUAAAUUAGAGGGAAAAGAAGGUCAAGCCUAUACAACUUCAAAUGGGGGUACCUAAGGAUUUACACAAGUUUUUAUUAUGAAUAUUGAUGUUAC